CCGCACACCUCUCACCGAGGCUGAGGAGGUGAUGGCAAGUUCUGGGAUGGCAAACUAGAUGCAAGAGCAUCUUUAUCCACUCAGCAGAAGUGUACUUCUCCUAGAAGAGGAGCACAGCCAGAGGAAGGGGAAUACACACAGACUGCACAGAGGAGCACCCAGCAGGAAUGAUCUGUCCAUCAGUGUCAUCCUUCUUGUCAGAGCAGAAAUUCUUACGUCAGUCCUGAUAUGAAAACAAACAGGAAACCAACUCCCAG